rnacentral:rRNA from 1 species
GACGAACGCUGGCGGCGUGCCUAAUACAUGCAAGUCGAACGCUUCUUUCCUCCCGAGUGCUUGCACUCAAUUGGAAAGAGGAGUGGCGGACGGGUGAGUAACACGUGGGUAACCUACCCAUCAGAGGGGGAUAACACUUGGAAACAGGUGCUAAUACCGCAUAACAGUUUAUGCCGCAUGGCAUAAGAGUGAAAGGCGCUUUCGGGUGUCGCUGAUGGAUGGACCCGCGGUGCAUUAGCUAGUUGGUGAGGUAACGGCUCACCAAGGCCACGAUGCAUAGCCGACCUGAGAGGGUGAUCGGCCACACUGGGACUGAGACACGGCCCAGACUCCUACGGGAGGCAGCAGUAGGGAAUCUUCGGCAAUGGACGAAAGUCUGACCGAGCAACGCCGCGUGAGUGAAGAGGGUUUUCGGAUCGUAAAACUCUGUUGUUAGAGAAGAACAAGGACGUUAGUAACUGAACGUCCCCUGACGGUAUCUAACCAGAAAGCCACGGCUAACUACGUG